AAAACCCGAAACGCGUUGGAGAAGUCACGGAGAGCAACGGAGGAGUAACGCCAGUGUGUGCUAUCACUGGCGCACUCAGAAGCCGGGAGCCGCGUGAGGAGGUUUUUAGCCGGAGCGACAGCGAGACGGGACCUGACACAUCUGCGGCAGCCGGUCAGGCUAUUCAACACCAAGCCGCUAGCAGGAACCGAAUGUGAGGAGACACUCAAAAGACUGAGGAGGAAGGGGAGGAGUAACUCUCUAUACCCUAAGUGGGCGGUCCCCGAAGUGUAAAAAAACUUCCUGUCUAGAACUAGGGGGAUGGGAUGCCAUGAAGUAUCUCGAAGAAACGAAAUUAUCAAGGCUUACAUGAAGAGACCUACUACUUACAUGUGAGUGAGGUUCUUCAGUGGCAAGAACAUUCUUCUUUGGAUAUUUGG